rnacentral:tRNA from 1 species
GGCCCGUUCGAUGUUCUCGUUGGGCAUGGACGCCGCCUUGGCGAGGCGGAGGCGGGGGUUGAAGUCCGGGUUUCCUCCGCCCUCCCGGGCCGCCA